rnacentral:misc_RNA from 1 species
UACGGAGGGUCCAAGCGUUAUCCGGAAUCAUUGGGUUUAAAGGGUCCGCAGGCGGACUAGUAAGUCAGUGGUGAAAUCCCUCAGCUUAACUGGGAAACUGCCAUUGAUACUGUUAGUCUUGAAUUCGGUCGAAGUGGGCGGAAUGUGUCAUGUAGCGGUGAAAUGCAUAGAUAUGACACAGAACACCGAUAGCGAAGGCAGCUCACUAGGCCUGAAUUGACGCUCAGGGACGAAAGCGUGGGUCGCGAACGGG